GACAAACGCUGGCGGGGUGCAUGAGACAUGCAAGUCGAACGAGGUGCCAUCGGGCUUGCUCGAUGGCUACCUAGUGGCGGACGGCUGAGUAACGCGUAGGUGACCUACCCGGAAGUGGGGAAUAACUGCCCGAAAGGGUGGCUAAUACCGCAUGUGGUCGGCGAUUCGAUUCGCCGUCUAAAGGAGUAAUUCGCUUCCGGAGGGGCCUGCGUCCGAUUAGCUAGUUGGUGGGGUAACGGCUCACCAAGGCGACGAUCGGUAGCUGGUCUGAGAGGAUGAUCAGCCAGACUGGGACUGAGAACGGCCCAGACUCCUACGGGAGGCAGCAGUCGGGAAUUUUGCC
rnacentral:rRNA from 1 species